rnacentral:rRNA from 1 species
GAUGAACGCUGGCGGCGUGCCUAAUACAUGCAAGUCAAGCGAACGGACGAGAAGCUUGCUUCUCUGAUGUUAGCAGCGGACGGGUGAGUAACACGUGGAUAACCUACCUAUAAGACUGGGAUAACUUCGGGAAACCGGAGCUAAUACCGGAUAAUAUUUUGAACCGCAUGGUUCAAAAGUGAAAGACGGUCUUGCUGUCACUUAUAGAUGGAUCCGCGCUGCAUUAGCUAGUUGGUAAGGUAACGGCUUACCAAGGCAACGAUGCAUAGCCGACCUGAGAGGGUGAUCGGCCACACUGGAACUGAGACACGGUCCAGACUCCUACGGGAGGCAGCAGUAGGGAAUCUUCCGCAAUGGGCGAAAGCCUGACGGAGCAACGCCGCGUGAGUGAUGAAGGUCUUCGGAUCGUAAAACUCUGUUAUUAGGGAAGAACAUAUGUGUAAGUAACUGUGCACAUCUUGACGGUACCUAAUCAGAAAGCCACGGCUAACUACGUG